rnacentral:ncRNA from 2 species
UUUCCGUAGGGGAACCUGCGGAAGGAUCAUUA